GCCAGGUAUGGUGGCGCAUGCCUGUAAUCCUAGUGGCUAGGGAGGCUGAGGCAGGAGGAUCGCUAGUUCAAAGCCAGCCUCAGCAACUUAGCGAGGCCCAAAGCAACUCAGUGAGACCCUGUCUCUA
rnacentral:sRNA from 1 species